rnacentral:rRNA from 1 species
CCUACGGGUGGCAGCAGUGGGGGAUAUUGGACAAUGGGGGAAACCCUGAUCCAGCGACGCCGCGUGAGUGAAGAAGUAUUUCGGUAUGUAAAGCUCUAUCAGCAGGGAAGAAAGAAAUGACGGUACCUGAUUAAGAAGCCCCGGCUAACUACGUGCCAGCAGCCGCGGUAAUACGUAGGGGGCAAGCGUUAUCCGGAGUUACUGGGUGUAAAGGGAGCGUAGACGGUAAUGCAAGUCUGGAGUGAAAGGCGGGGGCCCAACCCCCGGACUGCUCUGGAUACUGUGUAACUGGAGUGCAGGGGAGGCAGGCGGAAUUCCUAGUGUAGCGGUGAAAUGCGUAGAUAUUAGGAGGAACACCAGUGGCGAAGGCGGCCUGCUGGACUGUAACUGACGUUGAGGCUCGAAAGCGUGGGGAGCAAACAGGAUUAGAUACCCUUGUAGUC